rnacentral:piRNA from 1 species
UAAUGUGUUUGCAAAAUUCAUGUGAUGUA